rnacentral:rRNA from 2 species
UCCCACCUGACCCCAUGCCGAACUCAGCAGUGAAACGCCGUAGCGCCGAUGGUAGUGUGGGGUCUCCCCAUGUGAGAGUAGGACACUGCCA